UGCCCGGUAGUGUAAUGGUAGCACAUCAGUUUUUGGUACUGAGAGUCUGGGUUCGAGUCCCGGCCGGGUAA
rnacentral:tRNA from 1 species